UCUCUACACUGAAAAAAAGGGACUGGCCAUCUCUUGGAUUUAUGUGAAGUAAGUCAAUAAGAUAGCAACGUUAAAUCUCGUGAAACCACGCGUGAUUUCAUCUCGCGGGCUUUGGAUCGUGGUUUAAAAAAGGCAUCCAUCUCAGUCAAGUCGAGCAGCCAACUCUACGUUUUUGGUAUGUCUUGAUUUUUUGAAUUAAUAUUUACCAUAUUUCAGCCAAAUGUAGUUAAACGUCUAGAGUGUCGCCAUGUAACAUGCUAAAAAAGAGCCGUUAGCUUAUUUGCUGUUUUAUCUGUUGUCAAAGAAUUGGCGCUUUUUCAUUUGAAUUUGUCUUUGGCACAAGAGCCGUAAUAUCACAUUAAACCUAAUUACGAGGCACUCAUAACAUAAUUUGGUUUUCUGUGUGAAUAGAUUUGCCAACUGACUCUUCAGUUACAUUGUGUAUUUACUGCACCGUGGUGUUAGUGAGAUUUUGGACAUUGAACAGCUUUAGCUAAUAUCAUCAGCGGCAUUAUGCUAGCUUACAUCCCUACCCCUCCUGGCCUCACCUGCUGUCCUUUUGUUUUUGUUUUUGUUUUUUUUGCUGCACAUUGAGAGACGACCUCUAUUCUGCAUUUCACCAGGAGUCAGCUGAUGGAUUGUGGGUUCAAGGUGUUAUGAUAAAAUGCAGCAUUCCAGUGCAUCCCAACCAUGCCUUUACAGUCAAGGUUUCUGACGGAGCUGAGUUUCUCUCUGACAGUCUGCUGAAAGUGUUUGCAAAGUGAUCGGGGGAACAGGGCACAAAGCUAAAGGAUGUAGC
ensembl:lncRNA